UUGCUUCAUCUUCGCUGAUGGAGCUGCAGGCUGUGUCACCGUGUCUCUUCACAUCUCACCGUCUCUGGCCUUCAUCUCUGUAACGGCUUCAAUUAUUGUCACUCAGAUACAUUAAUCCAAGCUUUUAGGCCUUUUGCACCACUACUCCCACUCUCUCGAAAUAAAUGGGCAUUAGCAUCCUCCAGCGUAACCGACUCAAGCUUCACUUAUAAAUGCCUUCGUUGCUUGCGAGGAACUGUUACACUGAAACGAAAUCCCAAGGGCGACUCUCUGCGAUGAACUAUGAGCUACUGUCUUGCAUCAUUUAGCUGUAAGAGGUCUGAUUUUAACUAAUAUUGUUGCUUAUUUUAUUUAGCUUUCUAAGAUCAGAAAGUGUUCUGUUUUGCUUAUCAUUUGGGGAAAUCGAGUUGCUAAAGGAGUUCCUGUUGAUUCUCAAAACGAUUCUGGCACACCAUGGAUUUGGGCUGCUGGCCAUGACCAAAACGAUGCAGAGCCAGUCUUAUUAGAACACAAUGCCGAUCCUAACGUUGAGACCGGAUAAUGUCACGCCAUUGUUAUGAGCAGUGACGGCUGGUUCUGUGGCAUGCUUAGAGCUGUUGGUCAAGCUAUUUGAUGAGGCAGCCAAUGCUUUUUACGGAGUAAAGCAGAGAGAUCAUUGAUGGGUUCAGAGAAGCUGUAGAUGCUCCAAGGAAGUUUCACGGAAAGGACAAGAUUAAGGUCAAACCAAAAGAUCUUUUAGAGAUGGCUCUGUUUAGUAUAUGCAUGAAGUUUUGAUUUUACUUCUUACCUUGGUCUCUUCCCGAUGCAGUUGUUGCAUAUCUUACUUAAAUGUACUAAAAUCUUCAGGCAUAGAGUUUGGUUUGGCUAUGAUUUUUUCAUCGUAUUCAGAUUGUCAGCAUUGAUUUUUA